CUUGUGGCAACAUCCCAGCGCCCAAAGCCGCUAGUGAAAUAAGCGAGCCUCUGCAAACAGCAACCUCUGCCACGCAGAGCUUCACCUCGCAUAACAAGACCAUGUCGACCACAGAGGUGGACACGCUGCA
rnacentral:lncRNA from 1 species